GACGUAGGGGGCGAGCGUUGUCCGGAUUUAUUGGGCGUAAAGCGUGCGUAGGCGGCUGCGCAAGUCGGUUGUGAAACCCCGGGGCUCAACCCCGGAACUGCAUCCGAUACUGCGUGGCUAGAGGUAGGUAGGGGAGAUCGGAAUUCCUGGUGUAGCGGUGAAAUGCGCAGAUAUCAGGAGGAACACCGGUGGCGAAGGCGGAUCUCUGGGCCUUACCGGACGCUCAGGCACGAAAGCUAGGGGAGCGAACAGG
rnacentral:rRNA from 1 species